CUGCUGUUGGAAAGGAGAGGAAUCUUUCAUUCCCCUCUUAAAGGAUUGAAAUGUCUCUCAAGCUUUUAUAUGAUAUAUCAUUGUUAGCAAUGUCUCCAAGGCACUAAUAAUGAGAAUGCUCA
ensembl:snRNA